CUGAUCCAGCAAUGCCGCGUGUGUGAAGAAGGCCUGAGGGUUGUAAAGCACUUUCAGUGGGGAGGAGGUUUGCCAGGUUAAGAGCCAGGUAAAUGGACGUUACCCACAGAAGAAGCACCGGCUAACUCCGUGCCAGCAGCCGCGGUAAUACGGAGGGUGCAAGCGU
rnacentral:rRNA from 1 species